rnacentral:rRNA from 1 species
AACGAGAAAACUCCGGGCUUGCUCGGAGGAGUAAAGUGGCGCACGGGUGAGUAACGCGUGGGUAACCUGCCCCUGAAUCUGGGAUAACUUCGCGAAAGCGUUGCUAAUACCGGAUAUUGUCCCUUUUGCUGUGGCUAGAGGGAUGAAAGGUGACCUAUUCAUGAAAGUUGCCGUUUAGGGAGGGGCUCGCGUACCAUUAGCUUGUUGGUGGGGUAAUGGCCUACCAAGGCUGCGAUGGUUAGCUGGUCUGAGAGGAUGAUCAGCCACACUGGAACUGAAACACGGUCCAGACUCCUACGGGAGGCAGCAGUGAGGAAUUUUGCGCAAUGGGGGAAACCCUGACGCAGCAACGCCGCGUGAGUGAAGAAGGCUCUCGGGUCGUAAAGCUCUGUCAAGUGGGAAAAAGGACUUUCGGUCAAUAGCCGGAAGGAUUGAUGGUACCACUAGAGGAAGCACCGGCUAACUCCGUGCCAGCAGCCGCGGUAAUACGAAGGGC